ACAGUCGGGUCGGGAGCCCUGUGGCCUGGAGGAAGCGGGAGGAGGCGCGGGCAGCCGCCAGGGCGAGGCGACCCGGUGCGAGGGGACUCCCAUGGAGCGCCGACUCCUAAGGAAGUCGCUGGGUAUCCCACCGGCUGUACCGCGGGGCGUUAGUACCUAGAUGGCUUCGGUGCCCCCAAGCGAUGGGCUCAAGCUACAGGGCGGGCUUUGCACCUGGCCUUCUCAGCUCUGAGGCAGGCAGUGGGCAGCUUCGCCUCCACCCUCCGUCCAGCGCCCUUCCCAUGGGGCCAUCCGCCUCUCCCUAAGGCACUAAAAACCAGUGGAGGAGUCAGGCCAUGUUGGCAAAAAGGGCUCGGGCAGCAGCCCCAGACCUAUAGUCCUAAAUAUCCAUGUACCCAGCCCUGGGGUCACGAGCCAUCUCAGGGACGACCCGAUUCCAGCGGAUGGAGAAGUUCCCUGAAAACACCUGCCUGGGAGGAGAGACGAGGGAACGGGAUUGGGCAAGUGUCAUCCGCCCAGCGGGCUUCUCAAAGGUUUUUAAAGCAGAAUGGGACGUAAUAGGAAGAUGUGUCUAGCAGAGAGUAAAAUAAAGGGGCAUUUAGAGGUGUGGGCACCUGGAUGGAAACAAAGGCUCCAAAGGGAUGAUGGUGAGGGUUACAGCCCACCACAGUAGACAGAGACACCAAGGAAGGAAUGCAGUCAGUGGCCCUGCGUAGACCGGCUCAGGAGAGAGCACACCAGCUCACCCCAGGACUCAUCCAAGGCUGGGGAUGGAUGUCGAUGCAGCAACUCUGGAAGGCAGAAGACAGUGCUUUACCAUGGAACUGAAACCAUGAAAAGUGAAACUGCAAAUAGGAGAGACUGCUGUAUAGUCACUGAAAAAUUAAUGGAUGAGCUCAACAGCAAAUUAGACACAACUGAAAAAGAGAGAAAAUGACACGAGGCUUUGGAACCAAGAGCUGGAGGAACCUGGAAGCGAAAGCUGAGGCUGUCAGCUGCCCAGCAGUUAACACCCUGAGACCAUCUUCCCACUUCCAACACCCACAGAAGCUGCCACCCAAGGGCCCCUGUGUCCCCGCAUGGCCCACCUCAGCAGUAUGAUGCAGCACUGGGGAAGUGACAGAAUGUGAAAAAAACUAUUAUAGCUGAGAUAUUUUAAAAUUCCGCCCUCCAGGCAGCAUCUGGUUGCUACAGCAACCCCAGCUCUGCAGGGUGUCCCGAUUACCAGCAGGCUCCCUGCACCUGCCUCAGGCUGAGAGCAGGCGGCUGCCGCCAAGGGGAACACCAAGGAAAUGCCCAUGUUCUGAUUCCAAGGUAAUGGCUCAGACCCAAGGGGAUUUUAUCUGUUCAAUGUGCAACCUGAUGAAGUUCUGUCCCAUGUUAAUAAUUUCAUUAAAAAUAUGGCCUUACAUCCUA